CCUACGGGUGACUGCAGUCGAGAAUCAUUCACAAUGGGGGAAACCCUGAUGAUGCGACGCCGCGUGGGGGAAUGAAGGUCUUCGGAUUGUAAACCCCUGUCAUGUGGGAGCAAAUUAAAAAGAUAGUACCACAAGAGGAAGAGACGGCUAACUCUGUGCCAGCAGCCGCGGUAAUACAGAGGUCUCAAGCGUUGUUCGGAAUCACUGGGCGUAAAGCGUGCGUAGGCUGUUUCGUAAGUCGUGUGUGAAAGGCGCGGGCUCAACCCGCGGACUGCACAUGAUACUGCGAGAAUAGAGUAAGGGAGAGGGAACCGGAAUUCUCGGUGUAGCAGUGAAAUGCGUAGAUAUCGAGAGGAACACUCGGGGCGAAGGCGGGUUCCUGGACAUUAACUGACGCUGAGGCACGAAGGCCAGGGGAGCGAAAGGGAUUAGAUACCCGUGUAGUC
rnacentral:rRNA from 1 species